UAGGGAAUCUUCCACAAUGGACGCAAGUCUGAUGGAGCAACGCCGCGUGAGUGAAGAAGGUUUUCGGAUCGUAAAGCUCUGUUGUUGGUGAAGAAGGAUAGAGGCAGUAACUGGUCUUUAUUUGACGGUAAUCAACCAGAAAGUCACGGCUAACUACGUGCCAGCAGCCGCGGUAAUACGUAGGUGGCAAGCGUUGUCCGGAUUUAUUGGGCGUAAAGCGAGCGCAGGCGGAAUGAUAAGUCUGAUGUGAAAGCCCACGGCUCAACCGUGGAGCUGCAUCGGAAACUGUCAUUCUUGAGUGAAGAAGAGGAGAGUGGAAUUCCAUGUGUAGCGGUGGAAUGCGUAGAUAUAUGGAAGAACACCAGUGGCGAAGGCGGCUCUCUGGUCUGCAACUGACGCUGAGGCUCGAAAGCAAGGGUAGCGAACAGG
rnacentral:rRNA from 1 species